GCGCGGCGGCCGGAAGCGGCGGCUCCGAGGCCCUGGGUCCUGCGGGUGGCGGGGCGUUCGCGCAGGUGGCGUGUCCCGCGGGAGGAAGCCGGCCUCCGAGCGACCUGGUGCCGGCUUUCAACACGUUUACUAGGAGGCAGUGAUAGGACAGAGUAACGACGAAUUCUUGUUGAAGAAUAACAGUUUAGAGGGUCAACAUGUUGUCCAACUUGAGGAAGUUUGGAGUAAAUAAUAAGAAAAUACCCAUCCUGAACAUAAAUAAUAUGCCUUGCUCUAAAAUAAGAGCAAGUUUGAAAAGAUUAAAGCUGUAUGUGCUUCCUGGAAGAAAUUACAGUUCUCUACCAGGUUUAGUUGGAAAUGAUAUCAAAUCUCUUCAUUCUAUCAUCAGUCCUCCCAUAGCUAAAAUCCGUAAUAUUGGAAUUAUGGCUCAUAUUGAUGCAGGGAAAACGACCACGACAGAAAGAAUAUUGUACUAUUCUGGAUACACAAGAUCACUGGGAGAUGUUGAUGAUGGAGACACGGUGACAGAUUUUAUGGCUCAAGAGCGAGAAAGAGGCAUUACUAUUCAAUCUGCUGCUGUUACCUUUGAUUGGAAGGGGUAUAGAGUCAAUCUAAUUGAUACUCCAGGUCAUGUGGACUUUACCUUGGAAGUUGAGCGCUGCCUUAGAGUGUUGGAUGGUGCAGUAGCUGUGUUUGAUGCUUCUGCUGGUGUAGAGGCACAAACUCUCACAGUAUGGAGGCAAGCUGAUAAACACAAGGUACCUCGAAUCUGUUUUUUAAACAAAAUGGACAAAACUGGAGCAAGUUUUAAGUAUGCAGUUGAAAGCAUCAGAGAGAAGUUGAAGGCAAAGCCUUUGCUUUUACAGUUACCACUUGGUGAAGGCAAAGCUUUUGAAGGAGUUGUAGAUGUUGUAAGUAAAGAAAAACUUGUUUGGAAUCGCAAAUCAGAGGAUGGAAAAGACUUUGAGAGGAAACCUCUCUUGGAAAUGAGUGAUGCUAAACUGUUGAAGGAGACAACGGAAGCAAGGAAUGCCUUAAUUGAACAGGUUGCAGAUUUGGAUGAUGAAUUUGCUGACUUGGUUUUAGGAGAAUUUAGUGAAAAUUUUGAUUUGCUACCAGCUGAAAAGCUACAGACUGCAAUACACAGAGUAACCCUGGCUCAGACAGCAGUGCCUGUGCUUUGUGGAAGUGCCCUGAAAAACAAAGGGGUCCAGCCCUUGUUAGAUGCUAUUACUAUGUACUUGCCUUCACCCGAAGAGCGCAACUAUGAAUUUCUGCAGUGGUAUAAGGGUGACUUAUGUGCCCUGUCAUUUAAAGUUCUUCAUGACAAGCAGCGAGGACCACUGGUGUUUAUGCGCAUUUACUCUGGCACGAUAAAACCCCAGUCGGCCAUCUAUAAUAUUAAUGGAAACUGCACGGAGAGAAUAAGCCGUCUUCUUUUGCCAUUUGCUGACCAACAUAUAGAAAUCCCUUCACUGACCGCUGGUAAUAUUGCUUUGACAGUUGGCCUUAAACAUACAGCCACUGGAGACACCAUUGCCUCAUCCAAGUCCAGUGCAUUAGCUGCAGCUCGUCGAGCCGAAAGGGAAGGAGAAAAGAAGCAUAGGCAAAACAGUGAGGCAGAGAGACUUUUACUGGCUGGGGUGGAGAUUCCAGAACCUGUUUUCUUCUGUACCAUAGAGCCUCCAUCAGUGGCUAAGCAGCCAGAUUUGGAUUAUGCAUUGAAAUGCCUUCAGCGUGAAGAUCCCAGUUUGAAAGUGAAGCUAGAUCCUGACUCUGGACAGACCAUCCUAUGUGGUAUGGGGGAGUUACAUAUUGAGAUUAUUCAUGACCGAAUCAAGAGGGAAUAUGGACUGGAAACCUAUUUAGGGCCUCUCCAGGUAGCAUACCGAGAAACCAUCCUAAAUGUAGUUCAUGCCACAGAUACCUUAGAUAGAACUUUAGGAGACAAACGACAUCUUGUGACUGUAGAACUGGAAGUAAAACCAAAUGAAACGUGCUGUGUUACGCCAGUCCUCAAGUAUGCUGGAUGUGUUAGUGAAGACCUUCCAGAGGCCUCCCAAGAGGCCAUUGAAAAUGGAAUUCACAGUGCGUGCCUCCAAGGACCGUUGCUUGGAUCCCCAAUUCAAGAUGUGGCAAUUACUUUACAUUCCCUGAUAAUCCAUCCUGGUACCUCCACAACUAUGAUUUCCGCCUGUGUCUCAAGAUGUGUACAAAAGAUCUUAUUUUUUUUAUUUGAGAGAGAAUGCAAGAAUGAGCAAGGGGGAGGAACAGAGGCAGAGGGAGAAGCCGACUCCCCGCUGAGCAGGGAGCCCAGUGUGGGACUUGAUUACAGAACCCUGGGAUCAUGACCUGAGCUGAAGGCAGACGCUUCACUAACUGACCCACCAAGGUGCCCCUUAAUGUCUCUGUGUGUUCAGCAUGGGAGCCAGUAGCCUCAUCCAGCUGUUGAACACGUGAAAUGUGGCUGAUCUAACUCCCUGAAUUAUAGCCCCAUGCGGCUGCGCCUAUCCUACUGGACAUCACAGGAAGUAAAAGAAAUGUUCCUGGAGUUGACCAAAGGGAACGAAUUCCACAGGUUGGACGGUAAUAAAGACUUCCGAGGGAAGCCAGGGCUUCACACUGAAAUCUCUGAGCAGCUGAGUGCUACCCUCCGACACUUCCUGCAAGCCUUAGUCAUCAUUGCAUUGCUUCAAAGAAAGCCAUGGAUACUAUUUUCUUUUGAUGAUUUUUCACUGACACUGUGUAUAACAAAGUAUAACAGUAUCUACACUUGGACAAGGAGUGGAGAGAAAAUGAAACAAGCACUACAUAGUUAAAAGUUUUACAAAAGGCACAGAUCAAAUAAAAUAGAAGUUGGCUAACAAAA